rnacentral:lncRNA from 1 species
ACAGCCCAGGUGAGAAAGCAAAGGUCCACAGAAGGAGAUGGCGUGCCCUGCCAAAUUCAGUUUUCCUCUGCUACAAGCCACAAUUCUAUAUACAAACCUCGGUAAAAGAAGAAAAGCAAUACUUCUCCUGCCUACUGCACAGACUUAUACUGAGUGAAGAGGUGAAUUUGCAGGAUGAAGCUAGAAAGGAGAUUUAUAAAGGACUUGGUACUUUCCUUGAGGAAGAGUUUACCCGCCAUGGACAUCAGAUUUGCCCAAAUGAUCUGAUUCACCAUCAGGUUUUGGCAAAAAACAAAUGUAUUUCAAGUAAGCAGUCAUUACAGAGAUUUG